AUGCUGUUCCCGUAACACCCAGCACCAGUCCCCAAGGAUGAGUGCUGAAGAUCCAUAGCCAUGGCAGGGCAGGGCCUAGGUACUGAAGGAAGAUCCCACUCAGAGUUCAGUUCCACCCACUGCAAAACGCCCUCCGAGGACCCUCACUAGACCAGUUCCUCCAAGUGCGGUCCGCAGGCUGCCAUCAGCGGGAUCACGGGCCUUGUAUGACCUCUGAAAAUAUGACCUGAAGCAGAUGGAUGCACUCACAUAAGAAACAUCACCUGUGGCCUUCAUCGAAAAUGGGCCUGCUGCUUGAAGAAGUUGGGCUCUUGGAGUUCUCUAGCACAGGGGCCAUGAAAAUCAAUGACUUCCUUGUUUGCUGACGGAGCAGAGGUAGAAUCUCUUGGUGUUUCCACGGAGAAAACACUGACCAUGAAGAGCCAAGAAAGAUGACAUGAUGAAGCCAUCAGGGGAAGCACCAAACAUCCUCAACUCUGCUCACCCAUGGUUUUCUCCCGCCCUCCCAGAGCUCCUCCUGCGUGAGUAAUGCAGUGUGUGCUGGUGCAGUGUCUCACUGAAAAAAGAAAGAAACCCU
ensembl:lncRNA LINC01588 long intergenic non-protein coding RNA 1588